CAUUCGCCACGGUAAUACGAAGGGUGCAAGCGUUAAUCGGAAUUACUGGGCGUAAAGCGCGCGUAGGUGGUUUGGUAAGAUGGAUGUGAAAUCCCCGGGCUCAACCUGGGAACUGCAUCCAUAACUGCCUGACUAGAGUACGGUAGAGGGUGGUGGAAUUUCCUGUGUAGCGGUGAAAUGCGUAGAUAUAGGAAGGAACACCAGUGGCGAAGGCGACCACCUGGACUGAUACUGACACUGAGGUGCGAAAGCGUGGGGAGCAAACAGGAUUAGAUACCCCAGUAGUCCCUGUCUCUUAUAC
rnacentral:rRNA from 1 species